CAUUAAUCUUGCUAAACACGUGAUUUAUUCUCUCCCGCGAAAUUUCUGCAAGAAAAUAAACACGAAUCGAAAGUUGAAAUUCCAUUCAAAAGGUCAUGUCCUCAUCGGAAUCUGAUUCAGCAAAUGAAUACCAUUUGAGAAGCUCGCAAGACUUGUUCUUGGAUAGUCCCAUUUCUGUGAAACGCCUAAGGCAAAGACUUAACACACCUGAGCCCGAGGAAGCAUGUGAUGUUAUUGUAAUAAGUUCUGACUCGGGCACUGAGACACAGCCCCCUGAAACCGACAAUUUUGAACGUUCAUCCUGUUCCAGCAAACAUACCUUCUGAGGCACACAGAAUCACCAUUGGACACCCCAUCCACAUCAAAGCAGUAAAGGAGAAAACUGACCAUCGGGAGUGUCGCCACAGGGCUGAAUUGUGAUUAUUAUACCCCCCAAAACAAAGUUUGGGGGGGUAUACUGGAAUCGGGUUGUCCGUCUGUCUGUCUGUCUGUCCGUCUGUCCGUCCGUUUUUUUUUUUUUGUCCGGGAUUCAUCUUUGUCGUUAUUGAACAAAUCUUUUUCAAACUUUCAGAUAUUAAUGGCCAUGAUGUAAACUUGCGCCUCUAUGAAAUUGGUACGGGUCACAUGACCCUGACCAGAGUUAUCUCCCCUUGAUGUGUUAAAGUAGGCAAAAUAAGCCCUGUCCGGAAUUCAUCUUUGUUAUUAUUCAACAAAUCUUUAUCAAACUUUCAGAAAUUAAUGGCCAUGUUGUAAACUUUCGCCUCUGUGAAUUUGGUACAGGUCACAUGACCCUGACUGGAGUUAUCUCCCCUUGAUGUGUUAAAGUAGGCAAAAUAAGCCCUGUCCGGGAUUCAUCUUUGUUAUUAUUCAACAAAUCUUUAUCAAACUUUCAGAAAUUAAUGGCCAUGUUGUAAACUUUCGCCUCUGUGAAUUUGGUACAGGUCACAUGACCCUGACUGGAGUUAUCUCCCCUUGUAGGCAAAAUUAGCUUUGUCCGGCCUAACUCCAGGGCAAACAACCUAGACAUGGAGGGGUGGGGGGUAUUCGUUAGCCUAUGGCUUACAGUUCUAGUUUUUCACUAUAUUUAAGUGCAUAUAGACUAAUUUUUAGAAGAUUUGUGUUGUGUUUGGUUAAUAUCAUGUUAUAUUAUUGUUAUAUAUUGUGAAAAAUGCAAGAAAGUAUAGCUGUGUUUGUUUGCUAGAUAAAAAAAGACCUGGAACCGUUUUUUGGAGUCAUUUUUUACAUAUAUGCCAUAUGAUAUGGCUACCUCCCCAUUACAAAAAAUAUCAUAAAAAAAUUAUUUAUCAAUAUUUUUUCAAGAAAUAAAAAGUUUUGUACUUUAAAAACAUUGUUCUAACAAAUAAAUCUUGUUUUUUGUUCAAAACUUAACAUUUGAAAAAUGAGUGGUUCAUGCUACCUGAUCGCUCAUUAUUGUAGCUAUGGGGAUGAACUGAUGGAAAAUCCCCGCCAAAUGCCCUGAACCCUGGGGACACUAGGUUAAAGGCCCAUUCGCCACUAUGUUUAGCGCGAAGACAAAACCACGGCAUUCACCCUGGCACUGCAUUUACCAUUUGCCGAUAUUUGAGGACUAAUAAUAAAAUUAAAAUCAAUCGGCAUGUUUGCACUUGACCCCAUCUGUAACAUUUACCUUUGUUUAUUUAAAACUUUUAACCAACAAAAUCCUUUACCUUUAUAUUAUUACGGGAGUAAGUUUUUUCGAUGUAUAUACAUAUUUUGUAUAAACAUGUUGAUUAUAUAGUGUUGCUUUCAAUCUAAACUAUCUUUAUCAUUAACUUCAGUGAAAUCCCCGCCAAAUGCCCACGCCCCGCACCCCUGGGACCCUAGGAUAGGCCAAAUUCCACCUUUUAUGGCGCAGACAAAACCACUGCAUUCCUCCGGCACUGCGGGGCCACAUAGAAGUAAAAACACGACCCAUUUCCAGUAUACCACCUGACCUGGUGGGGCUGUGGAUACAACUGACUGGUGCAUAACACAUUCACUUGGCACUGCGGAGCUACCUUAAAAGUUAAAACUCGGCCAAUUUCCCGACUAUCCCCAGACCUGGGGGGACCGUGGUUACAAAUGACUGAUCAAAUAAUGCAUAGAUCCUUCCCAUAGUACUUUAAAACACUUCCCAUACAGACAAGCAAACAAACCCACUCUCAUCACAAUUAAGUGAUAAUAAUUUUCUUCCGAGGGGCAGUUAUCAUAAAUUUGGGCUUUUAAAUGCUGUUAAAACGUAUAUGGUUAUCUAAAGCGUUAGUCUUUUUUAACAUCCCUCAAUGACAGUCUGUCACAACAAAAUAAUUAUAAAUGGUGAGCUCAAACAUUGAGCUUGACAUUCUUCAACCACUGUAGAGGCUAUUUUUCAUCGCCCAGAACUAAUCUUUCAGUGAAAUCACCAUAUGGUUGGCUAAAACAUUGGCAAAAGCAAGCAUGCUUGAAUCAAAGUAUUGAAAUCUUCAUAUGCCUGAAUGUUGGAGUUGAUUUCGCAACAUUGUCAAUACUGUAAGCAGCCAUGAACGUCGUUUUUAACCUCCUUUCUAAGAGUUCAAGCUGCAGACAACAGUUUAUAAACAUUAUGAUCUUUGAGCGAAUAAUGUUAUGAUCAUUAGUGUUUACGUACAUUUUGUGUGUCAAGUAUAAUUCAUCAACAAAAAGGGUAAAUCGUGAACACGACUAAGUGGGACAAUGUAGGACUUCCAGUUUGCAGGUACCGUGAUUAAAGGUGUUUGUUAGGCUGUUAAUGUGAUGAUGUCACAGCGGGAUAAUACAUUUUUUAGUCUGGAAUUAGGAAAAUUUGCGUGAAAUUAGUGGAUAGAUCUUUUAACAUCUACAUGAGACGGAGUGGAUGAGUGGCACUUGUUGAUUUUCUUUUCACUAUAGUAGGGUACUAAAACAUGCUUUUUUUAAUAGCAAAGUGACUUCUCCCUCCAGUCAAACUAGGGAGAAGUGGGGAGACUUUUGGGAGAAGUGAUACUUAUUAUAACACCCUAUACAAAUACUUUGCCAAACCACACACAUCAGCUUAUAUUCACAUUCAAAUUGAUUGGUUUUACUAUAAGAAAUUUUCAUAUAAGUGUGUUUUUCUAUGUCACAUAGUGAAUCUACAAAUGGCAUCUAAAAAGAAACAAAAACCAAGACAGCUAAGCAUUAGUCCAUAAAAACAGCUGCUUCAGAGUCUGACAAUUUUUUAUUUGGCGACUCUAUGCAUCCAUAUCCCACUUGGUGUUUUCCUAGCCAAGAAUGACAGAUCCCAGCGCUAAGUAUAUUGAGCGGGGUAGGGUACGAAUGUCACAUCAUUCAGCCGUGCUAUUAUUACUUGUCUAUGGUUCAAUAAUUAUCAAUAUGCUGACAUUUUAGAACCAAAUGACUUUUAAAAGCACUGGCCUUGAUGUAAAAGUUACAUGUACCAUUACAUAAUAAAUGGUUGUGAAUUAAACUCCGAAAUAUGUUCUGACAAAAUGGUGAUCUCCUCAGUUUUUUUGACAUCAUAAAUUAAGGAAAAUACUGUAAGUAAACGCUACAUAAAGCAAAAAAAGUUGUGUGAUUACAUAACAUUUUUUAUCAUGAACAUUUCACUAUAAACUGAUGAUCGCCUGCUUCAAAAGCAAGAAUGUUUCAA